rnacentral:rRNA from 1 species
GACGAACGCUGGCGGCGUGCUUAACACAUGCAAGUCGAGCGGUAAGGCCCUUUCGGGGGUACACGAGCGGCGAACGGGUGAGUAACACGUGGGUGACCUGCCCUCAGCUCUGGGAUAAGCCUGGGAAACCGGGUCUAAUACUGGAUAUGACUCCAUGACGCAUGUUGUGGGGUGGAAAGCCUUGUGCGGCUGAGGAUGGGCCCGCGGCCUAUCAGCUUGUUGGUGGGGUGAGGCCUACCAAGGCGACGACGGGUAGCCGGCCUGAGAGGGCGACCGGCCACACUGGGACUGAGACACGGCCCAGACUCCUACGGGAGGCAGCAGUGGGGAAUCUUGCGCAAUGGGCGAAAGCCUGACGCAGCGACGCCGGC